GCUUUUAUUUGGAAAAGUGAGACACAGCAACGUUUCGACAACUGAAAGGGUCUUUGUCAAUUUUGACAAAGACCAUUUCAAGGGUCGAAACGUUGAUGUGUCUUACUUUUCCAAAUAAAUC